rnacentral:rRNA from 1 species
GAGCUAAUACCGGAUAAUAUUUUGAACCGCAUGGUUCAAAAGUGAAAGACGGUCUUGCUGUCACUUAUAGAUGGAUCCGCGCUGCAUUAGCUAGUUGGUAAGGUAACGGCUUACCAAGGCAACGAUGCAUAGCCGACCUGAGAGGGUGAUCGGCCACACUGGAACUGAGACACGGUCCAGACUCCUACGGGAGGCAGCAGUAGGGAAUCUUCCGCAAUGGGCGAAAGCCUGACGGAGCAACGCCGCGUGAGUGAUGAAGGUCUUCGGAUCGUAAAACUCUGUUAUUAGGGAAGAACAUAUGUGUAAGUAACUGUGCACAUCUUGACGGUACCUAAUCAGAAAGCCACGGCUAACUACGUGCCAGCAGCCGCGGUAAUACGUAGGUGGCAAGCGUUAUCCGGAAUUAUUGGGCGUAAAGCGCGCGUAGGCGGUUUUUUAAGUCUGAUGUGAAAGCCCACGGCUCAACCGUGGAGGGUCAUUGGAAACUGGAAAACUUGAGUGCAGAAGAGGAAAGUGGAAUUCCAUGUGUAGCGGUGAAAUGCGCAGAGAUAUGGAGGAACACCAGUGGCGAAGGCGACUUUCUGGUCUGUAACUGACGCUGAUGUGCGAAAGCGUGGGGAUCAAACAGGAUUAGAUACCCUGGUAGUCCACGCCGUAAACGAUGAGUGCUAAGUGUUAGGGGGUUUCCGCCCCUUAGUGCUGCAGCUAACGCAUUAAGCACUCCGCCUGGGGAGUACGACCGCAAGGUUGAAACUCAAAGGAAUUGACG